UACGUAGGGAGCAAGCGUUGUCCGGAAUCAUUGGGCGUAAAGCGCGCGUAGGCGGCCCCGUAAGUCCGCUGUGAAAGUCAAAGGCUCAACCUUUGAAAGCCGGUGGAUACUGUGAGACUAGAGUACGGAAGAGGCGAGUGGAACUCCUGGUGUAGCGGUGGAAUGCGCAGAUAUCAGGAAGAACACCAAUGGCGAAGGCAGCUCUCUGGGACGGUACUGACGCUGAGACGCGAAAAGCGUGGGGAGCGAACAGG
rnacentral:rRNA from 1 species